GUCUGCUUCUCUUUCUUUCUAAAUGGUGCUCUGUAAGCACUGCAAAUGCCACUAUAACGUCUCCCCGGAGCCUUCAUGUGUCCAAGUGCCAUAAGCUGGGGAGCACAAGACCAGCUGCUGAAUGGAUCCAUCUCAUAUACAGGAUAUACACUCCCAGUGAAGGACUCACUCCACCAGGAAGGGGAAAAGGUACCUCCUGGACAUACAUUUUCAGGCUCACUACUGGAGGCACCUAGGCGUGCAGCGUUGCAGAGGCCUUGCCUCUCUUGGACUUCCAGAUCCAGCAGAAUGUAUGUAGGUUGCUCCACACAUAAUGCCUUCUAUUUAUUUCCACGGAAACUACAGUGGAUACAAAGGGCACAAUAACACAGUUUGAUAGAGCAAAUUCUUAAAUACAAAACACGAUUUUUCAGCUGUGACCACCAUGAGCGUUGCAUUUUCAACAGUGAUGAAAAAGAGCCACACAUAACAGUCUGCACCAGUGGAAGUAACCCGCUGUCUCCACUGCUGAAAUGCCUACCACCCACUGCCUAACUGUGCUCACAUCCACUGGUUGGUCUCCAUCAAUGCUCAGCAGGCACACCUGUGCAAUUUUUUCUGCAUGAAGGAAUUCAGUGACACACCUUUACUUGAUCCACACUUCCACAUCAGAGGCCGUUGUGUCAGACUGCCCCUCUGCUGCCAUCUGUCACACUGCAACAAAAUGGAACAGGAUAUGGGUGGGAAGGUUCUA
ensembl:lncRNA